ensembl:lncRNA
CAGGUGGACCUGGCCGAUGAGUUUAGAGAGGGGCUUUCCUUCUCGCGCUCAUCGGCGGGGGGCGAGAGACAGCCACUGGAGGAUGAUGUUCUCUCUUUAACAUCAUCUGAUCCAGGGGCCAGUGCUCUGCUGGGUUCAGCCCAGGAAGAGCAGGAAAUGGAUGAUGAGAGCGAAGAAGCUGAGGCUGAGCCUUCUCAAUCCUCCUGCCCUGCGUAUGAUGAGCUCUUAGAGGUUAUGGAUCGCGCCACGGCAAGACUUGACUUGCCAUGGAAGCGGACUAAGGAAGUGGCGUCGCGAGGUCGUCUCGACGAACGUUAUCUUUCUGGCCAUAACCCUCCAGCUCAGGUGAGUCUUCCUUUCCUUCCUGAUCUCCAUACUGAGAUCGAGAAGGAAUGGAAGAAGCCGUUUUCCUCACGCAUCCAUCGGUUUCAGCAUACCAGUUAUGCGAAUAUCGAGGCGGUGCGCGAAAACGGCUAUGAGAGAAUGCCCCCUGUAGAAGAGACGCUAGCUAGCUAUCUCUCUAUGGGAGAGACAUCAUCUCUCAAAACUCCCUCCUUGCCAUCCAUGCCUCUUCAAGCUACAUCUAAAAUGAAUGGCAAGGCAUACGCAGCAGCAGGUCAGGCUGUUGCUUCACUGCACACGAUGGCGGUGCUUCAAGCAUACCAGGCUGAUCUGCUGAAAGACCUGGAUAAAGGCGAGGGCCUUUCUUCUGAUGAGAUGGCUGAGUUACGCCGCACCACGGAUCUUGCUCUUCGUGCUACUAAGCAGGCUGCCUCUGCCAUGGGCAGAUCUAUGGCAGCGAUGGUAGUAACGGAGAGGCAGCUGUGGGUAAACCUGGCAGACAUCGGGAAGAAAGAAAGGGGUUUUCUUCUCGAUGCCCCGGUUUCGCCCUCUGAACUUUUUGGUACAUCCGUUGAGACGGUCAUCGAAAAGUUCAGGGAGGCGAAGGCACGCUCAGCGGCCUUCAAAACCUUCAUUCCACGAAGGUCCAGGUCUGAGCCCGAACAACCCAGGGGUCCUGGCCCGUCUCGAUUUGAGGAUCAGAGACGAGCACAGAAGGCUAGUGUCGCGACUCGCGCUCCUCCUCCGCCUGCGGGUAGGGGUAGGAAGUAUCGUGGGUCGAAGGGAGGUAGGCAAGACCUGAGGGAUGUGAUCCAGACAAGGCGUCAGAGCUUUCGUCCGGAUCAGAGUAAUACUUAGGUAUCCACUCUUUCCCUCAGGGGGUGUAACAUCUACCCCUUUCUUCCCCUUCCUAAUUCCCCUGUAACCACCAUAUCGCCACCUGACCGAGGUCAGGUGGAAGCUUCCUGCAUAACAGUCUCCUUCUGGACCUAUGAUGUUUUGGUUGGUUCUAUGGUUAUCAUAGUAACCA